UUUACAUUUUGUUAUUUUGACCCCGUCAUUUAGACAACGUUUUCUCGCUCAAUAUUGUAGCUGCAAUAUUCUAGCUCGUACCAAAAUGUAGCUGAUUUCACCAGCUAUCUGACAAUAUGUGUAAAAUUAUUAUACUUGUAAUAUUCGCACAGAUAUAGACGAAUAAAAGUCAUGUUUAUGUUCCAUUAAACAUUCUAAUUAUAAUUCUGCAUGGUUUCAAACAUUGUUUACAUUUUUUUAUUUUGACCCCGUCGUUUAGACAACGUUUUCUCGCUCGAUAUUGUAGCUACAGGAAUAUAGCUCCCGCUAAAAUGUAGGCAUUUUCACAAGCAUUCAAACUAUCUGCGUUAGGGAUGAAUGUCGUUAAUAGUCGGAACAUAUUAUGUCUGCUUUUAGGCAUGAG